rnacentral:lncRNA from 1 species
CUCAUUAAACCAUCACAAAGGGCAUUACAUAAUUUAGUACAGUGUUUAUACAGAUUGUAAUACAGUGCCUGGAAAAAAAAACGAGGGCUCUGGCAAAAAAAUAACACAAAAAACUCUUUAAUAGAGUUGUUGCAACAAAAGCCAGAGCAAACCUCUGAGAGAACCAAGGCCUGAACAAAACCUGAACCCGUACAAAUCAUACAAGACCUUUCCGAGGAAAACCAAACCAAACAAAGACAAACGACGCGCAUAAAAUAGAUAACUGGCUCGUAAAAGACACCAAAGCAAGAAACAGGAGAUGAUAAACCCUAAAAUCUCGGAUACCCGGUAAAUAUAUUCUCAAGCAAAACACAACCUUCCGAUUUCGAGAUAAGCAAGAGUUUCCCUUGAUAAAAAGGAAACCCCGCAAAAAAACCAUUGACUGGAAAAAAAGAAACCGGAAGCGAACUGCUUGGAAAAAAGAAGGAAAACCGGUACCAAGCCUAGCGAGGGACACGUAGAUCACAGAGCCUGAAAAACAGUUGACACUUGAUAAACGGACUUGGACGGACUAAAAUACCUUACAUUAUAGGUGGACAGGUCGACAGUGGAAUUGUUGAUCAGGAGAGGAUGUCACAUUUGUAAAGGCGCUCGACUAAGAACUCGACAGUGGAAUUGGAGAUGGAUCGACACUGUUGGAGGUUUAAUCCCAAUAAAGUGGAACCCAACCCGACGAUGGCUGGCAUGCUCUUGUCUGUCACCAUAGAGCAACCUGCAACUGAUAGGAUCUGCAGUUUGAGCUUAUCAGAGGAAGCCAAUGCAUGAACCCCUGAAUCUGAGAUUGCGCAUUUCGAAAGAUCCAAAUCACUGAGAAUCUGGCAGUUUGCUGCAAUGGAGACCAGGCUGGCGUCAGUGAUAUUGGAACAUCCAUCGAUGUUUAAGACUUCAAGAGUCCACCCGUUACGAGCAGUGAUGGCAGAGAUCACUCUGUCGGUCAAGUUGGAACAACCACUGAAGUUGACCUUCACAAGAGAGCUCUUAAUUAGAUGUAGGAAACCAGACUCUGUUAUCCCCUUAAGCCCACACAGAUCAAUUUCCUCGAGCUGAGGGCACAACUUCCCGAUGGCUGCAAGAUUUGCAUCACCAAAGCCAGGACAGUUACGAAUAGACAAAGAGCGCAGAGCGCUGCAAUGAGAUGAAGCAGGCAAUCCUG